GGAGGCUGAGGCAGGAGGAUUGUGAGUUCAAAGCCAGCCUCAGCAACUUAGUGAGGCCCUAAGCAAUUUAGCAAGACCCUGUCUCUAAAUAAAAUAUAAAAAAGGUCUGGGGAUGGGGCUCAGUGGUUAAGUAACCCUGGGUUCAAUCCCCAGGACCAAAAAAAAAAAAAAAAGAAAAAGAAGAAGAGAGCAAAUGUCGGUUGCCCCAAAGGCAAUCAAAACCAACAGAUCCCAUUCUGAGCAAGAGUUUAGGAUGAAGGAAGCCAUUAAUAAAUGUGUCCACAAAAGAACAAGUACCUGGAAUCAUCCUGAUGGAUCAUUUUUUCUGUUUUCUUCUGGCAAAGUCCCUGAGGUUCAUUUAUCCUCCAAGCUUCUGGUAAGCCUCUACCCUGUGCCUGAGACUUUGCAAAAACUAAGGAAAGAGAAGCAGCAAGACCCAUAGAGAGCCAGUAGCUCAAUGUCACCCAAAAGCCAAAAGAUGCCACGAGUUCUUCAACUUCUCUCCAACAACAUUUUUAUAAUCUAUCAUUGUCCUCAAGUAAGGCUGGGACUGCCUUCUCUCUGUAUUCGGGCUCCUUGGUCUCCACAGUCUCUUGACUGGAAGGCGUAUUAUGAGACGGAAUGUCCCAUCGGAGAGGCAGGUAAGAAAUCUGAACUGCAGGGCCUCACAUGCCCCCACCUCUGUCCUGGGCUCCUUCUCCCUGGCAGGUGGAGGGACAAAAGGUCCUUUGUCCUCAGGAUCCUAUAGGAUAAACAGAGAGAACAUGUUCUUGCCGGCUAAUCUGCCGGUGAUAAAGAGGAUUGUUUUAUCUCCUGCCAUCUCUGGGUUCCAUGGGAUGGAUUCUACUGGGGAGACAGAGUGGCCUUUGUCUUUCCAACCCACUGAGACGUUUAAAUUGACCUUUCCUGUAUUCCUCGGUUGUCACUGCCUGAGCACUGGGUUGUCAUUAUGCAUGGAGAAUACUGUCCCCACGAGGGGACCGUCCUCCAGGGAGAGGCUGUGAUGCUGAGAAGCAGCUUCAUCCUCUUCUGCUUAAUUUUUCUUAAAAUUAAGACAACCUCAUGCACAGUCAGAGGCUUGUAGGAAAAUGGAAGGGACAGUACAGAGAUCCCUUCUUCCCCUCCUUCCCCUGUCUGGUCGCCCCGGUCACCACGUCUUGCGUGAGUGUGGUGCCUGUGCUGAUCCACAGGGCCAUGUCGUCAUGCACUGGAGCCCCGAGUUCACAUUCGGGUUCACUCUUUACAUGGUACAGUUUAUGGAUCUUGUCAAAUAUGGUGACAUGUUCCUACAGCAGUACACAGAGGAGUCUCCCAGUCCCUAGGUCCCCGGUGUCUAACUAUUCUCCCUCCCUUCGUCUGUCUGUCCAUCCCUCCAUCUGUCCAUCCCUCCCUCUGUCCAUCCAUACCUCCCUUCAACUGUCCAUCCAUCCCUCCCUCCAUCUGUCCAUCCCUCCAUCUGUCCAUCUGUCCAUCUGCUCAUGCCUCUAUCCAACCAGCCCUUCUUCCUCUCUCCCUUCUUCCAUCCUUCCCUUCUUCCCUCCCUCCAUCUGUCCAUCCCUCCCUCUGUCUGUCCAUACCUCCUUCCCUCUUUCCAUCCCUCCUUCCUUCUGUCCAUCCCUCCCCCCAUCUGUCCAUCCCUCCCUCUGUCUGUCCAUCCCUCCCUUCAUCUGUCCAUUCCUGCCUGUCUGUCCCUCCCUCCAUCUGUCCACCCAUCUCUCUUCCCUGUGUCCAUCCAUCCCUCCCUCCCUCCAUCUGUCUGUCCACCAACCCUGGGCCAGCACUGAUCUUUCCUCUGUCCCUAGUCCUUCCUUUCUCAGAGUGUCACAUAGUCUGAAUCACACACCACACAGCUUUUCCAGGGUCACAUCAUUCACUUGGAAGAGUGUGUGUCAGGGUCCUCCGUGUCCCAUGGUUGGGUCACUCGUUUCUGCUUUUGCUGAGUAGCUGUGGCUUCAUUUUUGGAGCUUUUGGUAGAAGGAAGCCAAGUACCUGGUUCCACCUCUCAUCUUGUUUUUUUGUAUUUUCCUAAUGGGGACAUGAUCUGAACUUGGUUCACUGUGUGUUUUAUUUCAAAGAAUGGAGUGGAACCUCAGAACAAUUUCAGCACUUUUUGGGUAAGUCUGGAGAACUAGACAGCACAUUCUGAUACCUCAGAGGUAGUCUGCGGGGAAGUCAGCUGGGGCCACAGGCAACAUCGCUUUCACCCAGAAUAAUUUAUAGUCAUAUAAUUAGGAUUUUCCCUAAAACAUAUUAUUAUUUUUUAUCUUCUUAGCAACUCUGGAGGGC
rnacentral:lncRNA from 1 species